rnacentral:rRNA from 1 species
AGUGAACGCUGGCGGUAGGCCUAACACAUGCAAGUCGAACGGCAGCACAGUAAGAGCUUGCUCUUACGGGUGGCGAGUGGCGGACGGGUGAGGAAUACAUCGGAAUCUACUUUUUCGUGGGGGAUAACGUAGGGAAACUUACGCUAAUACCGCAUACGACCUACGGGUGAAAGCAGGGGAUCUUCGGACCUUGCGCGAUUGAAUGAGCCGCUGUCGGAUUAGCUAGUUGGCGGGGUAAAGGCCCACCAAGGCGACGAUCCGUAGCUGGUCUGAGAGGAUGAUAAGCCACACUGGAACUGGGACACGGUCCAGACGCCUACGGGAGGCAGCAGUGGGGAAUAUUGGACAAUGGGCGCAAGCCUGAUCCAGCCAGACCGCGUGGGUGAAGAAGGCCUUCGGGUUGUAAAGCCCUUUUGUUGGGAAAGAAAAGCAGCAGGUUAAUACCCCGCUGUUCUGACGGUACCCAAAGAAUAAGCACCGGCUAACUUCGUG